GUGGAGGAAAUUUAUAGUCGAGACACCUACCGUCAGGUGUUAACUUAUCUAGUUCAGUACAUCACACUCAACAGCUUUCUGUAAACUCAGUCACAGGGUUAGAAAUGUCAUCCGCCAAAUACGUAAACAAUAAACUUGUAGGAACCGAUCAGCAUUUUUUAACAGUUUUGUUUAGUGUUUUUCGUUAUUAAAAAAACCGGUCAGGUGAGUCGAUGGCGUCGACAAUAUUAUUCCACCGGCCGAGAUGGCCAGCCGAGCCAGGGGAAGUUGGAGUUGGAGCUGUCAGUGGUCAAUUGAGACGCAGUAGCAGCAAAAGAAGGAUGAUUCUGGGAAAAGCAGUAAUCGGUUCCACUUUGAGGACGAGGAUCUUAAGCCAUGGUGCUAAAAGGGUGGCUUCAAAAAGCGAAGAAAAGAAAGAAGAAACGUUAUGAAAGUAAUGAACACAACAGAGAAGAAUCGCUAAGCAAGUAAAAAAUAAAUCUUCAAAAAAAAAAAGGAAAAUAACGAAAGGAAUCUGGUUACCGUUGAAUUUGAAUGGAAAUCAUCUGAUUUUAUGGAAAAGGCCAGACAAAGAGAAGCACUUUUAAGCUGAACUGAGAGUAGAUUCCGCACUUUAAGCAGCCCCACAUUCUACUUGGGUUGGAUCACAAGCUAUCUGAGGAAGUGUGAGCUGAUGCUAUCUGUACGACUUCGACCGUGCUGGGAUGCUGUUUUAAACCCAGAAAAAGCAAUGGAACCAUCUGGAGCAUUUGUCUUUUUAAUUAUAGU